rnacentral:rRNA from 1 species
GACUCUCGGCAAAGGAUAUCUCGGCUCUCGCAUCAAUGAAGAACGUAGCGAAAUGCGAUACCUGGUGUGAAUUGCAGAAUCCCACGAACCAUCGAGUCUUUGAACGCAAGUUGCGCCCGAGGCCACUCGGCCGAGGGCACGCCUGCCUGGGCGUCA